GCUGCAGUGAUGAGCUUUUAACAUGUAAGAAGGAUCAUUUGUGUAAUGGUUUCUUCAGUGAAAUACUCUUGUUACGCUUGGCUUCUGAGCAUC
rfam:Prunus persica cultivar Lovell chromosome G3, whole genome shotgun sequence.